rnacentral:tRNA from 1 species
CCACCCUUAGCUCAACUGGAUAGAGCAACUGCCUUCUAAGCAGUAGGUUGCAGGUUCGAGUCCUGCAGGGUGGGCCA